CUUUUCAGUCGGGCGCUGAGUGGUUUUUCGGAUCAUGUCUGGUGGCUCCGCGGAUUAUAACAGCAGAGAACAUGGCGGCCCAGAGGGAAUGGACCCCGAUGGUGUCAUCGAGAGCAACUGGAAUGAGAUUGUUGAUAACUUUGAUGAUAUGAAUUUAAAGGAGUCUCUUCUUCGUGGCAUCUAUGCUUACGGUUUUGAGAAGCCUUCCGCUAUUCAGCAGAGAGCUAUUAUUCCCUGUAUUAAAGGGUAUGAUGUGAUUGCUCAAGCUCAGUCAGGUACUGGCAAGACAGCCACAUUUGCUAUUUCCAUCCUGCAACAGUUGGAGAUUGAGUUCAAGGAGACCCAAGCACUAGUAUUGGCCCCCACCAGAGAACUGGCUCAACAGGUAUUGAUAGUGUAGUUCAAAAAAACUGCUUGCGUGUUGCAUAGGUUUCAGGUUUCACAACUGUGAAGAAUUUAAAACUUAGUAUAAAUUGGUCCUACCAGAUCCCUCCUUUUAAUUGUCCAUGCAUGCAGGGAGUUUUUGUUGAAAGUUUUGAAAGAACUGGGUAUGCAGGUAUGGUUUGUAGGGUUGUAUACUAAUAGAUUGAGAAUCCGAAGCGCUCUCUUGGAUGUACUAGAUCUGUCCCCAUUUUUUAAGUUUGAAUGCAGUUGUGCAACAUGAAAACUGCAGUGACAUGUUACCAUUUGACUGUCUCCGUAGUUUGUGAUGCAUCUGUUGCAUGCUAUGUUUUUCAAAGCUCACUGCUAUAUUGGCUUUGAAGUAAACUUUCCUAAUAAAGCUGUAGGCUUUAUUGAGGUUAGGAUUAUAUAAGGCACAAUACCUUCUGGGGGAAAAAAUCAUUUGCCUUAGCUGUAAUUACAGAACAUAAAUUUCACUACGUACUCCCUACCUACAGUGAAGAAUAAUGUAGGAAACGUUAUUCUUGAAUUGUCCAGCUGAUGCGUGGAGCAGCAGCAUCCCAAGUUUGACAAGGCAUAAGAAAGGCAUUAAGGGAAUUUUACCUUGCAGCAGUUAGGUCGUCUGCAUUUUAAGUUUGGAAGUAGUUUUGUG
rnacentral:sRNA from 1 species